rnacentral:rRNA from 1 species
UCAUAUGCUUGUCUCAAAGAUUAAGCCAUGCAUGUCUAAGUACUAGCCACUUGACGGUGAAACCGCGAAUGGCUCAUUAAAUCAGUUAUGGUUCCUUAGAUCGUACCAUCCUACUUGGAUAACUGUGGUAAUUCUAGAGCUAAUACAUGCCGAUCAGCUCUGACCUUCGGGGACGAGCGCAUUUAUUAGAACAAGACCAAUACGGGCUGGCAACAGUCCGUUCCCAUUUGGUGACUCUGAAUAACCUUGAGCCGAUCGCACGGUCUCGCACCGGCGACGCAUCUUUCAAAUGUCUGCCUUAUCAACUGUCGACGGUAGGUUAUGGGCCUACCAUGGUAGUAACGGGUAACGGGGAAUCAGGGUUCGAUUCCGGAGAGGGAGCCUGAGAAACGGCUACCACAUCCAAGGAAGGCAGCAGGCACGCAAAUUACCCACUCCCGGCACGGGGAGGUAGUGACGAAAAAUAACAAUGCGGGACUCUUCCGAGGCCCCGUAAUUGGAAUGAGUACACUUUAAAUCCUUUAACGAGGACCUAUUGGAGGGCAAGUCUGGUG